rnacentral:rRNA from 1 species
GAAGUGAAACGCCGUAGCGCCGAUGGUAGUGUGGGGUCUCCCCAUGUGAGAGUAGGGAACUGCCAGGC